UGGCGAGUGGCGAACGGGUGAGUAAUACAUCGGAACGUGCCCAGUUGUGGGGGAUAGCCCGGCGAAAGCCGGAUUAAUACCGCAUACGACCUACGGGUGAAAGCGGGGGAUCGCAAGACCUCGCGCAAUUGGAGCGGCCGAUGGCAGAUUAGCUUGUUGGUGGGGUAAAAGCCUACCAAGGCGACGAUCUGUAGCUGGUCUGAGAGGACGACCAGCCACACUGGGACUGAGACACGGCCCAGACUCCUACGGGAGGCAGCAGUGGGGAAUUUUGGACAAUGGGCGCAAGCCUGAUCCAGCCAUGCCGCGUGUGGGAAGAAGGCCUUCGGGUUGUAAACCACUUUUGUCAGGGAAGAAACGGUCUGAUCUAAUAAAUCGGACUAAUGACGGUACCUGAAGAAUAAGCACCGGCUAACUACGUGCCAGCAGCCGCGGUAAUACGUAGGGUGCAAGCGUUAAUCGGAAUUACUGGGCGUAAAGCGUGCGCAGGCGGCUAUGCAAGACAGAUGUGAAAUCCCCGGGCUCAACCUGGGAACUGCAUUUGUGACUGCAUGGCUAGAGUACGGUAGAGGGGGAUGGAAUUCCGCGUGUAGCAGUGAAAUGCGUAGAUAUGCGGAGGAACACCGAUGGCGA
rnacentral:rRNA from 1 species